rnacentral:lncRNA from 1 species
GUAUCUAUAUGCAUAGUUGCAGAAAUGAGAAAUUAAUUUAUAUAGGCAGGGCUUCUAAUCAGAAAUAAAACCCUAUAGGCAUGGUUUCUACCAUUUGUGCAUAAUAGUAAACCCCCUCCCUUUUCCACUAAAUCCCCAAUUUAUACAAAUUAUUAUAGACCACUAGAACAAACUAAAACUAAAAGUACAUCAGAAACUAUCAAGCUGCAUAUGAGAAGCCUACUUCACACUUAGUGUCUAACAAUACGAGAUUGAACCACUUCCGGGGUCUGGAUCUCAAAAGCCUUCUCUUAAUCUAGGGUGUUUCAAAUUUCCAAGGAAUUUCAGGAAUUCCAGACAAUGCUUACACUCAAGAUAUCAAUCGGAAUGAGAUACACUCCAGUAUGGAAGAGCUAGCCCUCAAGUGUCCAUGUUAAGAGAGAGAUCAAGGAUCCCAAGGUAAGGCUCACAAGAGGGGGAGCAGAACUUAGUUUCUAAGAAUGAGCGCAAGUGCAAUAGAGGGGCUUAGGGAGUGCCAAGGAAGGCUGAUGGUCAUGCCUAGUUAUAUGGUAGGCUGGCACACUCCUGACCAAGUCUGUUCAGCCAGUCAAAUAAGAGUAAAGACCCAUUGGAGGUCAAACUAUGGUCUAGACAGCGAUUAGGACACUGUUAGACCACAGUCUCAAACUCAGAAUACAUGUAAAAGGGAAGGGGGAAUGGGAAUUGAAAGAGUUUAGGAGUCAGGGAGUCCAGUCCAUAGACAUGAACAACAAUGUCAAGUGUUGUCAUUUUUUUUGAACCAUAACUUAACAUACAAAGGGACUAGGGACAGGGAUUCACGUAAAAGCACAUAGAUGAGGAGAUAAGUAAACUUGCAAAACAUUACAGUAUAGAAACAGUAAGACAAAUAAAGAAAGGACUGAAGAAUAAACAUCUAGGGGAGGGGCAAAAAUUAAACAAAAGAGACAUACAAGUUGUAGAAAAAGUAAGCAAAGAAAAAGCAGGAUUCUUUCAGCCAAACCACAAUCAGAGAAAAGAACUUUAAGCUUAUGAGUUCACAGAACUCGAAUACUUUUAAGAAAAUCUAAGUGUAUUUUAUAGAAGAAGUAAUUACUUGUGUUCUAUUUUGAAAGAGAAGAGGUACAUGUAUACAUAGUCUUGAAAACGAGUGAGAAUAAACUAACAAGUAAGGCUUUAACACAAAUAUGGAAAUGAUCACAAUAAGAAUCAAUUAACAUAAGUAUUUCCCUUUAAUCAAGGGGUUGCUGCUCAAAUGGAUACUAACAGGAUUAAUUAACGAAGAAAUUAAUUUGAGAAAGAAUUAUUUUUGACCAUAGAAAGGAUAGUGGAAGUAUAGAGUAAAUAAUUAAGCCCUAUUACAUAACAUACUUAAUUAGGGAAAGCAUUCAGCAAGGCAAAAUAAGGAAAUGAAUCAAUUAAGCUUGACAGACGAGUGUAAUUAGAAUUCAUAAAAGAAAGGUUUUGAAAUCUGUCAGAAGAUUAGAGAUCAAUCAAAGAAAUAACAUGUUUCUGCACUUUAGUAUUCAAACAGGGUGAGCAGGGACAUCAGACAUGCGAAACCAAAUUCAGCAUGCAGAAAUAUGUAUAAGGUUCAGUAGUAAAGUAAACAUUCAAAGCAUAGCAAUCAAAUAGGUUAGGUCACGUUGAGUCAAUAGGAGAAAACAGAGUAUAAGAACAUGCAAAAGUUUCACAGCAACAUGUAAGGAAACCCCUUUUAAAAAUUAGGGUUUCAAUGAUAGUCAUGUUUUACAGUUAAUAGGAGCCUCAAAUCAGAGGAAUCACAUAAAGGAAAAGCUUUUGAAACAAAGAACUUCAAAGAUGAGUCAAGUAUUCAAAUGAACAGUAUCAAACCCAAAGACAUGGGGUUUUUCAACAAUUGUAGAGCUUAAAUAAUGAUAAGUAAUAAAUCAAACAAAACUUAGCAAACACUCGUCUAACAAAUAACCAAAGGAAAUUAGGGUUUUCAACAUGCCAGCUCAGCUAGAAGAACAACGCAAGCAGAACAUCACAAAACAUGUCUAGAAUCAGAGAUGACAUUUGAAGUAACUUAACAAGAAAACUCUAACCAGAAAAGAUAAAGAUUUUUGAAAGCAAAAUUAAAGAAACUUCGAGAAAACUUCUUAGAAAGUUCAAAAACAAAUAGAUCUGUAGAUGAUCUAAAAUAAAAUCGAAAGAACCUUAGACAUUAGGGUUUCAUAAGUAACCCAGGUGAUGAGAAAGGCUUUGAAAACCAUCGAUCUAAGCAAGAGAGUCAAAAGUCAGACUCGAAUAGCCAUGGUUGGCCGAAUAAAGGUUGAAGACGACCAGAGAGCAUUCAUCAAGCAAAGGUUGGUAUAAAUCCUUCAAGAGCUUUUCAUAGGACCUCAGAAACGAGCACGUAGAAGCCAUGAGAGGCUGAUACAGGUCUCCGAUGAGCUUGGAAAGGCAUGGAUUAAGGUUCAGUGAGAGGCGGCACCUAGGGUUUUGAGAGGAUUUCAGAGAGGACAUCAUCUGAAGGUGGCUGAGAGAGGAGAAUGAGGUAGGGUUUGG